AUACCUUUCUCGGCCUUUUGGCUAAGAUCAAGUGUAGUAUCUGUUCUUAUCAGUUUAAUAUCUGAUAUGUGGGCCAUAGGUCCACACGAUAUUAAAUUUAUUUUUUAAGGGGGAAGGCCCGUCACAAUAGCUUGCUAUUGGGGUCUUCACGUGUCGCCCAAGCGUUGCACUAUUGCUCGGGCCUGGCACACCCCAC
rfam:Daucus carota subsp. sativus cultivar DH1 chromosome 6, whole genome shotgun sequence.